GCAGUCGAACGCUGACCACUUUCGGGUGGGGAUGAGUGGCGAACGGGUGAGUAACACGUGGGUAAUCUGCCCUGCACUCUGGGAUAAGCCUUGGAAACGAGGUCUAAUACCGGAUAUCACCUUCCCUCGCAUGGGGGUUGGUUGAAAGUUCUGGCGGUGCAGGAUGAACCCGCGGCCUAUCAGCUUGUUGGUGGGGUAGUGGCCUACCAAGGCGACGACGGGUAGCCGGCCUGAGAGGGUGACCGGCCACACUGGGACUGAGACACGGCCCAGACUCCUACGGGAGGCAGCAGUGGGGAAUAUUGCACAAUGGGCGCAAGCCUGAUGCAGCGACGCCGCGUGAGGGAUGACGGCCUUCGGGUUGUAAACCUCUUUCGCCAGGGACGAAGCGCAAGUGACGGUACCUGGAUAAGAAGCACCGGCUAACUACGUGCCAGCAGCCGCGGUAAUACGUAGGGUGCGAGCGUUGUCCGGAUUUAUUGGGCGUAAAGAGCUCGUAGGCGGUUUGUCGCGUCGGCCGUGAAAUCUCCACGCUUAACGUGGAGCGUGCGGUCGAUACGGGCAGACUUGAGUUCGGUAGGGGAGACUGGAAUUCCUGGUGUAGCGGUGAAAUGCGCAGAUAUCAGGAGGAACACCGGUGGCGAAGGCGGGUCUCUGGGCCGAUACUGACGCUGAGGAGCGAAAGCGUGGGGAGCGAACAGGAUUAGAUACCCUGGUAGUCCACGCUGUAAACGUUGGGCGCUAGGUGUGGGCGACAUCCACGUUGUCCGUGCCGUAGCUAACGCAUUAAGCGCCCCGCCUGGGGAGUACGGCCGCAAGGCUAAAACUCAAAGGAAUUGACGGGGG
rnacentral:rRNA from 1 species